rnacentral:rRNA from 1 species
AACGAACGCUGGCGGCGUGGAUAAGACAUGCAAGUCGAACGGGAUUACUUUUGGUAGCAAUACCGAAAGUAAUUCAGUGGCGAACGGGUGCGUAACACGUGGGCAAUCUGCCGAAAAGUGGGGGAUAGCUCGCCGAAAGGCGAAUUAAUACCGCAUGUGGUGAGGGACGACAUCUUCCUGAAGUCCAAAGCCGGGGCAACCUGGCGCUUUUUGAGGAGCCCGCGGCCUAUCAGCUAGUUGGCGGGGUAACGGCCCACCAAGGCUAUGACGGGUAGCUGGUCUGAGAGGACGACCAGUCACA